rnacentral:other from 1 species
CACCGGUGGAGACAACACAGGAAGUUUCAGUCGGUUGUACGCCAGUGUGAGCGGUAAGCCCCGCGGCCUGCUUUUCCGGGCCUGUCCUUCGUCUUCUUCGCCGUCUGGCCUCUCCUGACCCCGGUCUUCUGUCGCUCUCAGAUCAGUUACUGCUCUGGUUCUGCGGCCGGUUGCUUGAUUGUACCACUUCUGCUGAUUGCACCGGCCUACGGCGCCGCCAAGAUGAAGCUGUGUCUGGUGGCUGCGGUGCUUCUG